rnacentral:rRNA from 1 species
UACAGAGGGUGCAAGCGUUAAUCGGAAUUACUGGGCGUAAAGGGCGCGUAGGUGGAAGGACAAGUCAUCGGUGAAAGCCCUGGGCUCAACCUAGGAAUAGCCGGUGAGACUGUUGGUUCUAGAGUGAAGUAGAGGGUAGCGGAAUUUCCGGUGUAGCGGUGAAAUGCGUAGAUAUCGGGAAGAACAUCGGUGGCGAAGGCGCUCUACUGGACCACAACUGACACUCAGGGACGAAAGCUAGGGGAGCGAAUGGG